rnacentral:rRNA from 1 species
GGUUAAGCGACUAAGCGUACACGGUGGAUGCCCUGGCAGUCAGAGGCGAUGAAGGACGUGCUAAUCUGCGAUAAGCGUCGGUAAGGUGAUAUGAACCGUUAUAACCGGCGAUUUCCGAAUGGGGAAACCCAGUGUGUUUCGACACACUAUCAUUAACUGAAUCCAUAGGUUAAUGAGGCGAACCGGGGGAACUGAAACAUCUAAGUACCCCGAGGAAAAGAAAUCAACCGAGAUUCCCCCAGUAGCGGCGAGCGAACGGGGAGCAGCCCAGAGCCUGAAUCAGUGUGUGUGUUAGUGGAAGCGUCUGGAAAGGCGCGCGAUACAGGGUGACAGCCCCGUACACAAAAAUGCACAUGCUGUGAGCUCGAUGAGUAGGGCGGGACACGUGGUAUCCUGUCUGAAUAUGGGGGGACCAUCCUCCAAGGCUAAAUACUCCUGACUGACCGAUAGUGAACCAGUACCGUGAGGGAAAGGCGAAAAGAACCCCGGCGAGGGGAGUGAAAAAGAACCUGAAACCGUGUACGUACAAGCAGUGGGAGCACGCUUAGGCGUGUGACUGCGUACCUUUUGUAUAAUGGGUCAGCGACUUAUAUUCUGUAGCAAGGUUAACCGAAUAGGGGAGCCGAAGGGAAACCGAGUCUUAACUGGGCGUUAAGUUGCAGGGUAUAGACCCGAAACCCGGUGAUCUAGCCAUGGGCAGGUUGAAGGUUGGGUAACACUAACUGGAGGACCGAACCGACUAAUGUUGAAAAAUUAGCGGAUGACUUGUGGCUGGGGGUGAAAGGCCAAUCAAACCGGGAGAUAGCUGGUUCUCCCCGAAAGCUAUUUAGGUAGCGCCUCGUGAAUUCAUCUCCGGGGGUAGAGCACUGUUUCGGCAAGGGGGUCAUCCCGACUUACCAACCCGAUGCAAACUGCGAAUACCGGAGAAUGUUAUCACGGGAGACACACGGCGGGUGCUAACGUCCGUCGUGAAGAGGGAAACAACCCAGACCGCCAGCUAAGGUCCCAAAGUCAUGGUUAAGUGGGAAACGAUGUGGGAAGGCCCAGACAGCCAGGAUGUUGGCUUAGAAGCAGCCAUCAUUUAAAGAAAGCGUAAUAGCUCACUGGUCGAGUCGGCCUGCGCGGAAGAUGUAACGGGGCUAAACCAUGCACCGAAGCUGCGGCAGCGACGCUUAUGCGUUGUUGGGUAGGGGAGCGUUCUGUAAGCCUGCGAAGGUGUGCUGUGAGGCAUGCUGGAGGUAUCAGAAGUGCGAAUGCUGACAUAAGUAACGAUAAAGCGGGUGAAAAGCCCGCUCGCCGGAAGACCAAGGGUUCCUGUCCAACGUUAAUCGGGGCAGGGUGAGUCGACCCCUAAGGCGAGGCCGAAAGGCGUAGUCGAUGGGAAACAGGUUAAUAUUCCUGUACUUGGUGUUACUGCGAAGGGGGGACGGAGAAGGCUAUGUUGGCCGGGCGACGGUUGUCCCGGUUUAAGCGUGUAGGCUGGUUUUCCAGGCAAAUCCGGAAAAUCAAGGCUGAGGCGUGAUGACGAGGCACUACGGUGCUGAAGCAACAAAUGCCCUGCUUCCAGGAAAAGCCUCUAAGCAUCAGGUAACAUCAAAUCGUACCCCAAACCGACACAGGUGGUCAGGUAGAGAAUACCAAGGCGCUUGAGAGAACUCGGGUGAAGGAACUAGGCAAAAUGGUGCCGUAACUUCGGGAGAAGGCACGCUGAUAUGUAGGUGAAGUCCCUCGCGGAUGGAGCUGAAAUCAGUCGAAGAUACCAGCUGGCUGCAACUGUUUAUUAAAAACACAGCACUGUGCAAACACGAAAGUGGACGUAUACGGUGUGACGCCUGCCCGGUGCCGGAAGGUUAAUUGAUGGGGUCAGCGCAAGCGAAGCUCUUGAUCGAAGCCCCGGUAAACGGCGGCCGUAACUAUAACGGUCCUAAGGUAGCGAAAUUCCUUGUCGGGUAAGUUCCGACCUGCACGAAUGGCGUAAUGAUGGCCAGGCUGUCUCCACCCGAGACUCAGUGAAAUUGAACUCGCUGUGAAGAUGCAGUGUACCCGCGGCAAGACGGAAAGACCCCGUGAACCUUUACUAUAGCUUGACACUGAACAUUGAGCCUUGAUGUGUAGGAUAGGUGGGAGGCUUUGAAGUGUGGACGCCAGUCUGCAUGGAGCCGGCCUUGAAAUACCACCCUUUAAUGUUUGAUGUUCUAACGUGGACCCGUGAUCCGGGUUGCGGACAGUGUCUGGUGGGUAGUUUGACUGGGGCGGUCUCCUCCUAAAGAGUAACGGAGGAGCACGAAGGUUGGCUAAUCCUGGUCGGACAUCAGGAGGUUAGUGCAAUGGCAUAAGCCAGCUUGACUGCGAGCGUGACGGCGCGAGCAGGUGCGAAAGCAGGUCAUAGUGAUCCGGUGGUUCUGAAUGGAAGGGCCAUCGCUCAACGGAUAAAAGGUACUCCGGGGAUAACAGGCUGAUACCGCCCAAGAGUUCAUAUCGACGGCGGUGUUUGGCACCUCGAUGUCGGCUCAUCACAUCCUGGGGCUGAAGUAGGUCCCAAGGGUAUGGCUGUUCGCCAUUUAAAGUGGUACGCGAGCUGGGUUUAGAACGUCGUGAGACAGUUCGGUCCCUAUCUGCCGUGGGCGCUGGAGAACUGAGGGGGGCUGCUCCUAGUACGAGAGGACCGGAGUGGACGCAUCACUGGUGUUCGGGUUGUCAUGCCAAUGGCACUGCCCGGUAGCUAAAUGCGGAAGAGAUAAGUGCUGAAAGCAUCUAAGCACGAAACUUGCCCCGAGAUGAGUUCUCCCUGACUCCUUGAGAGUCCUGAAGGAACGUUGAAGACGACGACGUUGAUAGGCCGGGUGUGUAAGCGCAGCGAUGCGUUGAGCUAACCGGUACUAAUGAACCGUGAGGCUUAACCUU